AGGUUGCUCUGGACAGAGCGAGCUUUAAUCCUCCUUGAUAAUCUUGUUGAGAAAGGUACCCCUGGAGAUGACCACUUCCAGUUAUCUUUUCUCCAUUGCUAAACUGGAUUGCUCAGGACAGGUAUUUUAUACCCACACACAAAAG